GAUCCAGACUUUGAUUCUGGCUCAGGAUGAACGCUAGCUACAGGCUUAACACAUGCAAGUCGAGGGGAAACGACAUCGAAAGCUUGCUUUUGAUGGGCGUCGACCGGCGCACGGGUGAGUAACGCGUAUCCAACCUGCCCAUCACUUGGGGAUAACCUUGCGAAAGUAAGACUAAUACCCAAUGAUAUCUCUAGAAGACAUCUGAAAGAGAUUAAAGAUUUAUCGGUGAUGGAUGGGGAUGCGUCUGAUUAGCUUGUUGGCGGGGUAACGGCCCACCAAGGCAACGAUCAGUAGGGGUUCUGAGAGGAAGGUCCCCCACAUUGGAACUGAGACACGGUCCAAACUCCUACGGGAGGCAGCAGUGAGGAAUAUUGGUCAAUGGACGAGAGUCUGAACCAGCCAAGUAGCGUGCAGGAUGACGGCCCUAUGGGUUGUAAACUGCUUUUAUAAGGGAAUAAAGUGAGUCUCGUGAGACUUUUUGCAUGUACCUUAUGAAUAAGGACCGGCUAAUUCCGUGCCAGCAGCCGCGGUAAUACGGAAGGUCCGGGCGUUAUCCGGAUUUAUUGGGUUUAGAGGGAGCGUAGGCCGGAGAUUAAGCGUAUUGUGAAAUGUAGAUGCUCAACAUCUGAACUGCAGCGCGAACUGGUUUCCUUGAGUACGCACAAAGUGGGCGGAAUUCGUGGUGUAGCGGUGAAAUGCUUAGAUAUCACGAAGAACUCCGAUUGCGAAGGCAGCUCACUGGAGCGCAACUGACGCUGAAGCUCGAAAGUGCGGGUAUCGAACAGGAUUAGAUACCCUGGUAGUCCGCACGGUAAACGAUGGAUGCCCGCUGUUGGUCUGAAUAGGUCAGCGGCCAAGCGAAAGCAUUAAGCAUCCCACCUGGGGAGUACGCCGGCAACGGUGCAACUCAAAUGAAUUGACGG
rnacentral:rRNA from 2 species